UACGUAGGGUGCGAGCGUUGUCCGGAAUUAUUGGGCGUAAAGAGCUCGUAGGCGGUCUGUCGCGUCGAUCGUGAAAACUUGGGGCUUAACCCUGAGCUUGCGGUCGAUACGGGCAUGACUGGAGUUCGGCAGGGGAGACUGGAAUUCCUGGUGUAGCGGUGAAAUGCGCAGAUAUCAGGAGGAACACCGGUGGCGAAGGCGGCCCACUGGAUCGGUACUGACGCUGAGGUGCGAAAGCGUGGGGAGCAAACAGG
rnacentral:rRNA from 1 species